rnacentral:tRNA from 1 species
UUGGCUUCGAAUUCAGUGACCCUGGGUUCGAAUCCUGCCUGUU